rnacentral:misc_RNA from 1 species
ACUAUACUGUGUGUGUGU